GCUCAGCCAGUACUGGGUCAAAGGUCAAUAGUUGGCGGGGACUUUUUACUUUCGUCCAGUGGUAUUACAGAAUUUUAGAUCUAAGACAUGAACCGAUGGCUUCAUGAGCAAACAUCAAGACAAGUGUAGACGUACGAAGGGCAAGGCUGCUGUCAAAGGUCUGCCACGCUUUUACCAUGGCAACCAACAUGGAGGGAAACCCACAGUCACACAGAUCAGCGCUGCAUCAGUCUCACAGUGUCCCAACAGACAUGUCAGAGUGUCGGUACGAUUUCUGCAUGUGGUAUCACAAGGAUGACCAGCAAACAGCUCAGAAUAUAUAUAGAAAAUUAGAAGAAGAUAGCUACGUGGGAUUCAUAGAGCACAGAGACUUUCAAGUUGGCAAUGAUGUGUUUUCAAAUAUUGAGCAUGGAGUUGACAAUAGCAGUAAGAUUUUGGUGCUGCUGACACAGUCUUCAUUGCAAUGUAGGUGGUUCGAGAAGAAAGUGCACGCUAGCUUGACAAAGUCCCUGGAUAACCCACAGAGACGAGACUGUGUGAUUCCCAUCUUUGAUGGGAUAAAAAAGAAUGAGGUACCCACUUCCAUAAAGACACUGACUGGUGUGGACUUUAGAAACAGGCACUUCUGGAACAGACUGAAGCAAUCCUUGGGGUCACCAAUGGAAGACACAAUGACACUGUCAAGAAGUGUUAGCAAUAGUACCUAGUCAUGGCUGGACUAUGAAUGUGUGCUUGACUUUUUUCCCCAGCUCAUAAUCAAAAAUGGAUACUACUUGUGUGUUAUUGUUAAACUAUACGGUACAUUUUGUUGAGUGAACUUCUAAAGCUCAAGAAGGAUGCUCUUUGUAUUUCUUGGUCAAAACACAGUCAAGAUCCUUGUUAAUUACAUGUUGAGUGCGAGUAUAUUAACAGUUUUGGAAAGAAACAAUAAGUAUGACUGUGAAGAGCUUGUAACAAGAUGAUGACCAUGCUAAGGGGACACAGGCUUUAGCACAAGGCACACUUAAACUCAUAUCAGUUCUUGUUUUGCUAAUCUUCAGGCAAAGCAAGUUGUACAUGAAGCAGAAGAAAAUGCAUACUAGUGGUACUUAUAGAUAUGUGUGAUGCAUUGACACUAUUUAGUUGGAUGUGAUACUAUUUAAAUUAAUCUUAUCUACAUGUGAAUUCAGUCCAGAGGUAACUCACACAUGACAUGAUUUUCUUUAAUUCUUAGUGCAUUUAAUCUGAGCAAGUAACAUACCUUCUGCAUCUGAUAACAACUGAUGCAAACUCUUACACAAAUAUUUACAUGAAGUAGUGAUUCCUCCAGUACCUUGUCAAAUUUACUUGUGUUAUGUUCCUCAUAAAAAUGCAAAUAUAAGAGCCAAAAACUGAG